UUUGAACUCGUCUCCUGACCACCCGGAACAUGACUCAAUAAGGUUCCAACUGUCUCCCAUGUGGAUUCAUUCAUAAUUAAGUUAAGACAUGUGCUUUAGUCUCUACAGUUAUACUUUUAACCGAGACUAAAUCGGUGAUUUGCAGGAAAAUCGUCAUUAAACUUCUCAUAGGUAAGGGUCCUGAUGCAAAGCUAAAGAGGGCUGAAAUCAAAGAAGCAGUUCUCU
rnacentral:lncRNA from 1 species